AUUGAACGCUGGCGGCAGGCCUAACACAUGCAAGUCGAGCGAGCGGCGGACGGGUGAGUAAUGUCUGGGAAACUGCCUGAUGGAGGGGGAUAACUACUGGAAACGGUAGCUAAUACCGCAUACCAUCAGAUGUGCCCAGAUGGGAUUAGCUAGUAGGUGGGGUAACGGCUCACCUAGGCGACGAUCCCUAGCUGGUCUGAGAGGAUGACCAGACACACGGAAAUGGAGACACGGCCCAGACUCCUCCGGGGUGAGGCAGUGGGGAAUUUGCAACAAGGGGCGCAAGCCGGAUGCAGCCAUGCGGCGGGGGUGAAGAAGGCCUUCGUGUUGUAAAGCACUUUCAGCGGGGAGGCGUUACCCGAAGAAGAAGCACCGGCUAACUCCGUGCCAGCAGCCGCGGUAAUAC
rnacentral:rRNA from 1 species